GACGAACGCUGGCGGCGUGCUUAACACAUGCAAGUCGAGCGAGUUGAUUCCCUUCGGGGAUGAAGCUAGCGGCGGACGGGUGAGUAACACGUGGGCAACCUGCCUUAUAGAGGGGGAUAGCCUUCCGAAAGGAAGAUUAAUACCGCAUAACAUCAGAUUAUCGCAUGGUAGACUGAUCAAAGGAGUAAUCCGCUAUAAGAUGGGCCCGCGUCGCAUUAGCUAGUUGGUGAGGUAACGGCUCACCAAGGCGACGAUGCGUAGCCGACCUGAGAGGGUGAUCGGCCACAUUGGGACUGAGACACGGCCCAGACUCCUACGGGAGGCAGCAGUGGGGAAUAUUGCACAAUGGGGGAAACCCUGAUGCAGCAACGCCGCGUGAGUGAUGAAGGCCUUCGGGUUGUAAAGCUCUUUGAUCAGGGACGAUAAUGACGGUACCUGAAGAACAAGCCACGGCUAACUACGUGCCAGCAGCCGCCGCUGUAA
rnacentral:rRNA from 1 species